CCGGUUGCUCAGGUGGGCCAAGCUGGGACGGUCCUUGUGAUCUCGCCCUUGGGUGAGUCAAGAAUCAGUUCAGAAAGAAACCGAGAGGCCUUCGCGAGCCACCUCAGGACACGGAACCAGUAUAUUCUCGCCUGGGGAUUAUUAAAUGCCGAAAGGCAAAGGCCAGGCCUGAGUAGGGUGCAUGGCGGCCCUCCCUUCUCUGAACCCCAGGCUCCUUUGUAGUUUUUGUGUUGCAGGACCUACAAAGAGGUUUUCCGGUGGGUGAUACAGGACUUCCUGGAGAAGCCAGGCAGCGGAAUCGACAUCCGUCCCCACGGCCGACUGUCCCUUGGAGCGAUGGACAGCAAGAUGAAAGCGAUGCUCAUAGACGAGCGUCAAAAUUAAGUUCAGAUUAUCAGACUACCCCCCCAAACCAGAAACCACCAUCCUAAAGAAACGGCAUCCAGAACCCCAAGAGCUCCUGGAG
rnacentral:lncRNA from 1 species